UCAGUGCGACGAUCGUUGGCCCAUUGA
rnacentral:sRNA from 1 species